UUGGAGGGCAAGUCUGGUGCCAGCAGCCGCGGUAAUUCCAGCUCCAAUAGCGUAUAUUAAAGUUGUUGCAGUUAAAAAGCUCGUGGUUGAAUUUCGGGAUCAAUAUUUCGGUCAUGCCGUUGGUAUGCACUGUUAUCAUUGAUUUCUCACCUUCUAAAGAACCGUAAUGCCAUUAAUUUGGUGUUACGGGGAAUUAGGACUGUUACCUUGAAAAAAUUAGAGUGUUUAAAGCAGGCUCACGCUUGAAUACAUUAGCAUGGAAUAAUGAAAUAGGACAUCCGAUUCUAUUUUGUUGGUUUCUAGGAUCGAUGUAAUGAUUAAUAGGGAUAGUUGGGGGCAUUAGUAUUCAAUUGUCAGAGGUGAAAUUCUUGGAUUUAUUGAAGACUAACUACUGCGAAAGCAUUUGCCAAGGAUGUUUUCAUUAAUCAAGAACGAAAGUUAGGGGAUCGAAGACGAUCAGAUACCGUCGUAGUCUUAACCAUAAACUAUGCCGACUAGGGAUCGGAUGAUGUUAAUUUUUUAAUGACUCAUUCGGCGCCUUACGGGAAAC
rnacentral:rRNA from 1 species